UCAAAUCUUCCUUCUGGUUGCGACGCGUGGCAAAAUGAUGCCGAUCUCACCUUAUAUGGUGCCGAUCCGUUCACCAGUUGUCCGAGUCGACUCAGCAUAGCCUCUUCACCAACGUCAGAUCUCAACCGAGUCAUUUUCUCCGACGCCCAGAAGUGUACCAAUCCCCCUCUUCAGCCACAGGUCCCGUCUUGGUCUCCAUCGCCGUCGCCAACGCCGACUCCACCCCCACCGCCACCACCUCCUCCAGCAGUUGUAAAA
rnacentral:lncRNA from 1 species